GCUGUGAUGGGUUGUAGAAGCAUCCAAAUUGCAUACUAGUUCUUCCCAAUGCUGAUUAUUCAAAGCAAACACAAUGUAACUUUCUAGGAAAAAUAAGGCCUCUACAAAUCCUACACUGGCGUUGAUUUCAGUUCAUGCUACCAUGUGUUUGAAUUCUUCAUAUUAGACCUUUCAACCCCUUGACUAAUUGGGGCUAAUUUGGCUCAUAACAGGAUGAAUGAACAGGGGAGCAAAAACUGCAAUAUACAGAUGAUCCAGAAGAUAUUGAACCUGAAGAUAUUCGUCCUAUGGGGAACUAUGCUGUUUCGAUAACAUGGCCUGAUGGAUUCAGCCAGAUCGCACCCUAUGAUCAGCUGCAAAUGAUGGAGAGGUUAGUCGAUUGUCCUCAACCAACUCCUGCACAGGCUUGACCAGUAUCUGUCAACCUACAACUCAGUUGGGUGGACUGCAUCAAUGCCUUUAGGACGAUAUAGAAUGCAAGUUUAUAACCUUUUUUUUUUUUUUUUUGCUCGCCAGCGGGCAUAAUACCAUCAAGUGUAGAUUAAUAGAAUCUUGAGAUCAAUAGGUAAGUCUAAACAGUUACUUGAUCUUUUAUGAGUCAGAUCCUGGGACUCAUAUUAGUUUAUUUUUUUCCAUUCUAUAUAGUUUAGGCAAUUAUGUAUGAGAGAUUCCUAUUUUUUUUUCUUUGCUACACAUAUGCAAGGUAUCUCAUGUCUCGGUAUUUUAUUCUUU